UACGUAGGUGGCUAGCGUUAUCCGGAUUUAUUGGGUGUAAAGGGCGUGUAGGCGGGAAAGCAAGUCAGAUGUGAAAACUCAGGGCUCAACCCUGAGCCUGCAUUUGAAACUGUUUUUCUUGAGUGCUGGAGAGGCAAUCGGAAUUCCGUGUGUAGCGGUGAAAUGCGUAGAUAUACGGAGGAACACCAGUGGCGAAGGCGGAUUGCUGGACAGUAACUGACGCUGAGGCGCGAAAGCGUGGGGAGCAAACAGG
rnacentral:rRNA from 1 species